rnacentral:rRNA from 1 species
UACGAAGGGGGCUAGCGUUGUUCGGAAUCACUGGGCGUAAAGGGCGCGUAGGCGGCUUGAUAAGUCGGGGGCGAAAGCCUGUGGCUCAACCACAGAAUUGCCUUCGAUACUGUCGAGCUUGAGACCGGAAGAGGUAAGUGGAACUGCGAGUGUAGAGGUGAAAUUCGUAGAUAUUCGCAAGAACACCAGUGGCGAAGGCGGCUUACUGGUCCGGUUCUGACGCUGAGGCGCGAAAGCGUGGGGAGCAAACAGG